GACGAACGCUGGCGGCGUGCUUAACACAUGCCAGUCGAACGCUGAAGCUCAGCUUUUGUUGGGUGGAUGAGUGGCGAACGGGUGAGUAACACGUGAGUAACCUGCCCCCUUCUUUGGGAUAACGCCCGGAAACGGGUGCUAAUACUGGAUAUUCACUGGUCUUCGCAUGGGGGUUGGUGGAAAGGGUUUUUCUGGUGGGGGAUGGGCUCGCGGCCUAUCAGCUUGUUGGUGGGGUGAUGGCCUACCAAGGCUUUGACGGGUAGCCGGCCUGAGAGGGUGACCGGUCACAUUGGGACUGAGAUACGGCCCAGACUCCUACGGGAGGCAGCAGUGGGGAAUAUUGCACAAUGGGCGCAAGCCUGAUGCAGCGACGCCGCGUGAGGGAUGGAGGCCUUCGGGUUGCGAACCUCUUUCGCUCAUGGUCAAGCCGCAACAAUGGUUGUGGUGAGGGUAGUGGGUAAAGAAGCGCCGGCUAACUACGUG
rnacentral:rRNA from 1 species